rnacentral:rRNA from 1 species
AGAGUUUGAUCCUGGCUCAGGAUAAACGCUGGCGGCGCACAUAAGACAUGCAAGUCGAACGGAAGUCGUUAUAAAAGGAGAGAAGAUUUGUCGGAUUGAAUUUUAUAACAAUGGCUUUAGUGGCGGACUGGUGAGUAACGCGUAAGGAACCUACCUAUUAGAGGGGAACAACAAUGAGAAAUCAUUGCUAAUACCGCAUAUGCCAUAACUGCCGCAUGGUAGAAGUGGGAAAGGAGUAAUCCGCUGAUAGAUGGCCUUGCGUCUGAUUAGUUAGUUGGUGGGGUAACGGCCUACCAAGACGACGAUCAGUAGCCGGACUGAGAGGUUGAACGGCCACAUUGGGACUGAGAUACGGCCCAGACUCCUACGGGAGGCAGCAGUCGGGAAUAUUGCGCAAUGGAGGAAACUCUGACGCAGUGACGCCGCGUGCAGGAAGAAGGUUUUCGGAUUGUAAACUGCUUUAGACAGGGAAGAGAAAGGACAGUACCUGUAGAAUAAGCUCCGGCUAACUACGUGCCAGCAGCCGCGGUAAUACGUAGGGAGCGAGCGUUAUCCGGAUUUAUUGGGUGUAAAGGGUGCGUAGACGGGAAUACAAGUUAGUUGUGAAAUACCUCGGCUUAACUGAGGAACUGCAACUAAAACUAUAUUUCUUGAGUACAGGAGAGGUAAGUGGAAUUCCUAGUGUAGCGGUGAAAUGCGUAGAUAUUAGGAGGAACACCAGUGGCGAAGGCGGCCAACUGGGCUUUUACUGACGCUGAGGCUCGAAAGUGUGGGGAGCAAACAGGAUUAGAUACCCUGGUAGUCCACACCGUAAACGAUGAUUACUAGGUGUGGGGGGACUGACCCCUUCCGUGCCGGAGUUAACACAAUAAGUAAUCCACCUGGGGAGUACGGCCGCAAGGUUGAAACUCAAAGGAAUUGACGGGGGCCCGCACAAGCAGUGGAGUAUGUGGUUUAAUUCGAAGCAACGCGAAGAACCUUACCAGGUCUUGACAU